rnacentral:misc_RNA from 1 species
AACACUGUUAACCUGCGGUACCUGCGGAAGGAUCAUUACAGAGUGUUUAACCCCCUAUAAAAUGGUGGGUCUAACCUCCCGUCCUUUGCUGGGUCCCCCUUCUGGAGGACUUUCAAAACUUUCUGCUUCGGCGGGGUAUACCCGCCGGAACACCCUCAAAAAAUUCUUGAUCAAAAUGGCUCGGUCCGAGAAACUUUUUGUGAAAAUUAGCGAAAAACUUUCAACAACGGAUCUCAGAUC